UCUCCGUUGGUGAACCAGCGGAGGGAUCAUUACCGAGUUUACAACUCCCAAACCCCUGUGAACAUACCUAUCGUUGCCUCGGCGGUGCCCGCUCCGGCGGCCCGCCAGAGGACCCCCAAACUCUUGUUUUAUACAGUAUCUUCUGAGUAACACGAUUAAAUAAAUCAAAACUUUCAACAACGGAUCUCUUGGUUCUU
rnacentral:misc_RNA from 1 species